rnacentral:rRNA from 1 species
AUGCCGGUGCACUUACUCCUCGCCCCGAGUCUUCAUUCCUCCAUCCUCAAGAAGAUCACCAAGAUUAUCCGCGAUUUCCUCUGGUUUGGCCGCAAGGACGCCAACUCUGGCUGCUGCUUCGUCAGCUGGCCUAAGCUGUUGCGGCCACUUGAGCUUGGGGGCCUCGCCGUGCGCGACAUACACUGCACUGUCAUCGCUCUCCGCACCCGAUGGCUGUGGUUGCAGGCCACAGACCCAUCGCGUCCCUGGAGCCACCUCCAGCUCCCGCACGACGAGGAGGUCCAGCAGUUCUUUCAGGCAUCCACUUGCUGGACCGUUGGGGACGGCAAGUCUUGCCGCUUCUGGUGUGAUCAUUGGAUCGAGGGAUCAUCCAUCAGCUUCUGGUGUGAUCAUUGGAUCGAGGGAUCAUCCAUCAGCGAGAUUGCCCCGACACUACUCCCGCUCGUCCCGCGCAGGCGACGGCGCUCACGCAUCAUCUCCGGCGCGCUCCAUGACAACCUCUGGAUCUGCGACAUCCACGGCUCCUUAAGCCAUGCCGCUGUCGUCGAGUAUGUCGAUUUGUGGCGACGACUACAGCGAGUACAUCUGACCGCCGACCCUGACAAGAUCACCUGGAAAUGGACGGCUAACGGCACCUACAGCGCUGGCUCGGCCUACAAAGCCUUGUUCGCCGGAUCGAUUGGCUCUUCGUUCUGGCGCCUCAUUUGGCGCUGCUGGGCUCCCACUAAUGCCAAAUUCUUCCUCUGGCUUGCCUCCAUGGACCGUUGCUGGACCGCCGAGAGGCGCGCUCGCCAUGGACUCCCACACGACCCGCUAUGCAAGUUCUGCUGCCAGGAGCCUGAGACCAUCGACCAUAUCUUGGUCCAAUGCGCCUUCUCUCGAAUCACAUGGCACGAGGUUCUCUCAUGGUGCAGACCGCCGACCUCCGCCCCACCCACUGCCUCGGCGACCUUCUAUGCCUAG